GGAGGUAGUGACAAUAAAUCACAAUGCGGGACUGUUAGUCUUGCAAUUGGAUUGAGAACAACGUACAACUCUUAUCGAUAAGCCAUUGGAGGGCAAGUCUGGUGCCAGCAGCCGCGGUAAUUCCAGCUCCAAUAGCGUAUAUUAACGUUGUUGCAGUUAAAAAGCUCGUAGUUGAAGUGAGGGAGUGUGUGGGUAUGAGAGCUAGUCUCAAGUACUUACAACCUCCCCCCUCCAAUCGGUGUAGUGGGGUAUUCAGUUAUUCUACUACUCCUUUGGUCGUUUACUGUGAGAAAAUUAGAGUGUUCAAAGCGGGCGUUUGUUUGAAUAGAUUAGCAUGGAAUAAUGAUUGAAGGCUUUCGUGUUCGAUUUGAUUGGUUUGUUCAUGGAAGCAAGGUUAAAAGGAACAGUUGGGGGUAUUCAUAUUCACUAGUUAGAGGUGAAAUUCUCGGAUUUAUGGAAGAUGAACAAGUGCGAAAGCA
rnacentral:rRNA from 3 species